GUUGAACGCUGACCGAAUGCUUAACACAUGCAAGUCAACUUGAAUUUGGGUUUUUAACUUAGGUUUGGGUGGCGGACGGGUGAGUAACGCGUAAAGAACUUGCCGCACGGCUAGGGACAACAUUGGGAAACGAAUGCUAAUACCUAAUAUUAUGAUAAUAGGGCAUCCUAUAAUUAUGAAAGCUAUAAGCGCUGUGAGAGAGCUUUGCGUCCCAUUAGCUAGUUGGAGAGGUAACGGCUCACCAAGGCGAUGAUGGGUAGCCGGUCUGAGAGGGUGAUCGGCCACAAGGGGACUGAGACACGGCCAUUACUCAGACGGGAGGCAGCAGUGGGGAAUAUUGGACAAUGGACCGAGAGUCUGAUCCAGCAAUUCUGUGUGCACGAUGAAGUUUUUCGGAAUGUAAAGUGCUUUCAGUUGGGAAGAAACAAAUGACGGUACCAACAGAAGAAGUGACGGCUAAAUACGUG
rnacentral:rRNA from 1 species